AAAUUGAAGAGUUUGAUCAUGGCUCAGAUUGAACGCUGGCGGCAGGCCUAACACAUGCAAGUCGAACGGUAACAGGAAACAGCUUGCUGUUUCGCUGACGAGUGGCGGACGGGUGAGUAAUGUCUGGGAAACUGCCUGAUGGAGGGGGAUAACUACUGGAAACGGUAGCUAAUACCGCAUAAUGUCGCAAGACUAAAGAGGGGGACCUUCGGGCCUCUUGCCAUCGGAUGUGCCCAGAUGGGAUUAGCUAGUAGGUGGGGUAACGGCUCACCU
rnacentral:rRNA from 1 species